rnacentral:rRNA from 1 species
UACGUAGGGUCCGAGCGUUGUCCGGAAUUACUGGGCGUAAAGCGUGCGCAGGCGGUUUUGUAAGCCAGAUGUGAAAUCCCCGGGCUUAACCUGGGAAUGGCAUUUGGGACUGCAAGGCUUGAGUGCGGCAGAGGAGACUGGAAUUCCUGGUGUAGCAGUGAAAUGCGUAGAUAUCAGGAGGAAUACCGAUGGCGAAGGCAGGUCUCUGGGCUGACACUGACGCUCAUGCACGAAAGCGUGGGGAGCAAACAGG